rnacentral:lncRNA from 1 species
GUCUUUGUCCAUCUCUCAUUCUCUCCUUCUCGCUCUUUCCCAUUCGUUCCUUUGCUAAAGUCUUCGGUUCACCAGCAAACAGACUCGUUUUCGCGUAAUCAGCCAACGAUGACCCUUCAACGCAUCCUCCAGUUUACAAGAUCCCAGUCUACGAGAAACUAACUACGCGAAAGUAUAGUCUAAGUAUUUUUCCUACGCUCUCAAUAAGAAUUAAUCAUUUUAAUGAAAUCUUUCGUAGGAUUUGAUCUGAUCAAAAAUAAAAAAAACAAAUUGCUGAAAACACACUUCUUUUUUACAUUCCUAUUCUAUAUCGGAUAGAAUUAUUUUUCUGUAUAUAUCGUAACGAUUAGUUCUUCAAACGCGAGUGACUUAUCUUUCCUAAAAAAAGGAAACCAAAAAUUCAAGUAGACAUCCAAUAAGAGAGGAAAAAGGAUAGAGAGAGAUAUAUAUCGCAGUGACUGCUGGAUUCUUUUUCAUUCGUAAGCCCUGUGAUCGUAAACGUCGGCCAGGAACAACAAACACAUUGGCUAAAGUCCGAGCAUCCUGGUGUAUGUGAACCCUUGUUACGUGCAAUACAAACGAACGAACGAACAAACAAACAAAUACGUACACUUGGAGACACUUAAAGGGAAAAAGAAAAAGAUGAGAUGAGAUGAGAUGAAAAGAGAAAAAAAGAGAAGAGAGAGCACCCUCUGUAUUUAGCGUGGUUGGUUGUAGCGAUGCAACGUUGACGGUCCGGUGGGUUUACAAUGUGCCGGAGAACCCAGGAAGACAACAAAUCCAUCAUCUCCAA